CAGCGGCAUGUGCGAUCGCGCUUUCGAGUUCGAUCAUGAAGCCCUGACGAGUAGGAGGGUCGCGGCGGUGAGCGCAGAAGGGCUGGCCGUGAGGCCGUCUGGAGCCGCCGUCGGUGCAGAUCUUGGUGGUAGUAGCAAAUACUCCAGCGAGGCCCUGGAGGACUGACGUGGAGAAGGGUUUCGUGUGAACAGCCGUUGCACACGAGUCAGUCGAUCCUAAGCCCUAGGCGAAAGCCGAUGUUGAUGUGGUGUAGAUUUACGUAACGAAAUAUUUGAAAGAGAUGUUUCGAAUAAAAAUCUAACACGAACACACCCAUUGGGCGAAAGGGAAUCCGGUUCCUAUUCCGGAACCUGGCAGCGGAACCGUAAAAAAGUCGGGCCCUCGCAAGAGAGUUCGUCGG
rnacentral:rRNA from 1 species